UUACAACCAUAUCAUGUUGAAACAUUGGUACCCGUAUGAUCACAGAAGUUAAGCAACGUUGAGCCUGGGCAGUACCUAGAUGGGUGAGCGCUUGGGAAUACAAGGUGCAGUAA